CCGGCACUGACGCGAAAUUCCCGGUAUAAACGUCAUUCGUUGGCAAUAAAUUCGUCGGAUAAGUUUCGAGACUGCUACCUGCGUGUCUGCCAAGCCCCGGCAUUGUGUAUUACCAAGUGCAUUCAAUGUCAUUCAUAUGUCAUGCGAAUUAAAGACUCUUCACGAACGUCCGUUCCGAACAAAAAAGGAAUCGCUAAAUUAACUGUCGCAUUAGCCGUAUUUAUGACUUAAUUGUCAAAGUCGAGACGCGUUCCUUUUCAUUUUCCGCGAUGGAAAUGGAGGAGCACACCCGUGUUGCGCCCGAUGCGUGCUUCGCCCACCGAUCCAAGCUGAAUCCCCAGCUGAGAAGACAAAUGCGAUAUUAUCGUUUUUUAUACGAGCCUCAAGUUCGUAUAUUUCAUAAUGUUUUUGCUAUUCUUGACGAGCCCUUUCUCGCACGCAUUUCACGAGGCGGACAACACGCGAACGCUUACGACAUUUCCUUCCACUCACCACGGCGGGGGCUCACUUUUCACCUGUCAAGAUCGAUACCAAGGACGCGAUACGACGGGGACCCAAACGGACGCGCGUGGGACGACAACUAAUAAGCCCCAAAGAGGCUUGGCAAAAGGAGCCAUCGAGACAGACAGGAGGUUUUGAUAAAUUGGAGACACCCAUUCCCAUUGUCAAAAACAACGCUGCUUAACAGUACGACAUUUUGACAAAUUACUACAAACCAAUUUCAUACAACUAUGGAAAAAUGUCCAUCAUAUUAUGUUCCUGACACUUUUGGCGUAGUGCUACGAGGGUGGGUUGGUAAAUCUACACAUUUGGAUCAUAGUCUCCUUCUCUCCUAGAGAAUGUACUUCUAAAAUUUGCUCACCAUUUGCUUCAAAUCUCUCUCGAACAAAGGGUUUGAACUUAUAAGGGACCUUAUGGUUGAAUGUCGGAAGAUGUCUUUCUACAACAAGGUAUAUAGGGUGUCCGUUUUUCGAGCUCCACCAUGAGCUCGAUUAAAUUAAGACAAUUAAUUAGCGCAUUUUCAUGCUGAAUAAUUAUCUGAAGGACAUCUGACGUGUCAUUUUUAGUUUGUAGAUUAUUGAAAGAAACAGAAAUUUGUAAUUUUUUUAACUAGGAUUUUCUUCAGGCACUUUUUAUAAGGAAUCUAAAUUUGUCCUCGUUUUUUCCACCACGUUCUUGAUGUCCCAGUUACAAAACUUAACUUUGGUUUUCCGUAUGAAUGCCAUAUUCGCUUUUUGUAUUUUUGAAAAAUGUUUUUAUUCCUGAUUACAAACGAUAUAUCACAUGAUAUGAUCUAAUCUUAAGAUGGAGAAAAAGCAUUUUUGCGAAGAGUGCUUUGGAAGAAACACCAACAAUUUUUUUUAAGCAAAUUAGAUUUUGGAGGUUUAAUCGGAUAUGGAUCUGGAAGGUUCACAUUUCCGCUAAGCUUACUUAUUUAAAAACUAAAAGUAAUGAUAGCAAGAAGUUUAUUCUUCGCAAAACAAAACAAGUCAAGCUGUUAAGUUUUCAGUUUACGUUUAUAUUUUGUGGGCAUUCUAAUUGACUGGCACAAAAAUUGGAACAUCCUAAGAAUUCUCUAGAGUUUGUUGAAAAAAAAAUGAUUUUCAAGAUAAUACAAACGUAAAUACGGACUUUUCUGAUCUGGAAUUUGUUUCAUGUACAAUAUUUUUGUUGUCAUUUUUCUAUGAUGUCAUAUUUCAAAAAUAUCCAAUUUCAGUAAAUUUGACUUUAUUGUAGAGAUUUCCUGUUUGAUUUUUAAUGUACCUGUAUUAUAACUUCAUUGAAUGCUGGAUUCAGUACCAGAUGAUAAAUUGUAAGAAAAUUGAAAAUUUUUUCGCUCCAGUGUUUACAGAACGUUUACUACUCGUGUCCUAGAGAUUAGUGAAUUUUGAAAAAGGACCGGAUCAGGCUGAUAACGCAAUGUAUGGAUACACUUCAGAUUAGAAAUGGACUACAAGAAAUAUGAUAGGCUAACUGAAGCGAAAGAACAAUAAAAAGACGACUAACAGAAGUUCCAAAUCUGCAAACGGUCCAGGGUUUCUCAGAAACCACUGCAUAGUUAGACUUAAUGGUGCUAUUCUCUAACUUUUGUUACCAUGUUAUUGCGCUAUUACUGUAAAAAUUACAGCUGUUAUUUAAAUUCGUAUUCCGUAAACUCUAUCACCCUCUAUUAGCAACAUUUCUACAGUAACAGUGACAGUGACAGAUCCUAAAUUUUUACGAUGUUUUACCAAAUUAACACGAAAUUGCAUUAAAAAUGUGAUAAGUGGAUAACACUAGAAGUUUAGAAUCACGCAAACAAUUCGACCUUUGGUUUCUGAAGUAUUGGAAAACGAAGAAAGGGGAUAAGACUGAUCUUAGAAAAAAAUCAACUGGUAUAAUUAUCCAUAAAGGUAAUCUUUGGCAAUCCUAAGUGGGAAUGAGCACAACUUAAAAUUCGUCAGGAACCAAAAUUUGUAUAAAUAAAAAAUUUAACACUGUGUACUCUUCAUUUUGGAAACAUUAUUUCGUGAAAAU